UUUGUAUUCAGUCAACUAUUGUUUAACCACUGAAAUGAACGUCAAAAGGAUUAUAUUUUGGAUACACCCGUUUUUAGGUAUUAUCACGUUGAACAGUGUUCUUGGAAAGAUGGAUGUCUAUAUAACAAGUGUUGAGUGCAUUAAUUAUUUUCCAGAUAUUAUAAAAAACGUAAGCUGCACUUUAGAUCGAACAUCACUCAGAACUGGUUCAAUGGAUCUAGAAUUUGCCUUAGCCCAAGAUGUUAGAGACAUACAAGGCAUAUAUAUACUGACGCUAAAAAAAGGUUCAUACUUGUCAAACUUUACUGAAAUAAAAGUAGACCUUUGCCAAGUAUUAGCAAGUGUGGAAACAUAUUUUUUACUGAAGAUGGUUACCAACGAGGUUCGCCGAAUUGGCAACUUUCCAAUGGAAUGCCCGUAUAAAAUGAAUACGCGAUAUUUUGUAAACGGAUUCACGAUUAACUCAAACUUAAUACCCAGCUAUAUGCCAGUAAUGAACUUCAUUUCGGACCUACAUACAUUUUUUAAGAAUCG